rnacentral:rRNA from 1 species
AUCAUUACCUAGAGUUGUAGGCUUUGCCUGCUAUCUCUUACCCAUGUCUUUUGAGUACCUUCGUUUCCUCGGCGGGUCCGCCCGCCGAUUGGACAAUUUAAACCAUUUGCAGUUGCAAUCAGCGUCUGAAAAAACUUAAUAGUUACAACUUUCAACAACGGAUCUCUUGGUUCUGGCAUCGAUGAAGAACGCAGCGAAAUGCGAUAAGUAGUGUGAAUUGCAGAAUUCAGUGAAUCAUCGAAUCUUUGAACGCACAUUGCGCCCCUUGGUAUUCCAUGGGGCAUGCCUGUUCGAGCGUCAUUUGUACCUUCAAGCUCUGCUUGGUGUUGGGUGUUUGUCUCGCCUCUGCGUGUAGACUCGCCUCAAAACAAUUGGCAGCCGGCGUAUUGAUUUCGGAGCGCAGUACAUCUCGCGCUUUGCACUCAGAACGACGACGUCCAAAAGUACAUUUUUACACUCUUGACCUCGGAUCAGGUAGGGAUACC